rnacentral:rRNA from 1 species
UACGUAGGUGGCGAGCGUUGUCCGGAAUGACUGGGUGUAAAGGGCGAGUAGGUGGGAUUACAAGUCAGAUGUGAAAUUUAGGGGCUCAACUUCUAAGCUGCAUCUGAAACUGUAGUUCUUGAGUGCUGGAGAGGGAAGCGGAAUUCCUAGUGUAGCGGUGAAAUGCGUAGAUAUUAGGAGGAACACCAGUGGCGAAGGCGGCUUUCUGGACAGUAACUGACACUGAGGCGCGAAAGCGUGGGUAG